rnacentral:rRNA from 1 species
AAUGUAAUGCAAUUAUGAAUGUAUAACAUUCAAUUAGUGUAUAAAUGGUUAACAAAGGGGUUAUUAAGGAUAACUAGCUAAUAUAUUUAAGGAGGUGUCGAAUCCAAAAUCAUUAUUCUAAAGAUGUAAUAAUGUAAAUCCGAGAGGGAAACCUCAAUACUAAUUACGAAGUGAAAUGAAACAUCUUAGUAACUUUAGGAAAAGAAAUCAACCGAGAUUUUAUGAGUAGUGGUGAGCGAAAGUAAAUUAGCCAAGUAUUUAUAUAAUAGAUUAAAUAUAAUUAAUUACAAAAUUAAUUGUAGUCUUCGAAUGAAAGAUCAAUCUCCUCUUUUAAAAGUUGGAAUGCUUUAGCCAAGGAUGGUGAAAGCCCAGAGUCCCAGGAAUAUAAAUACAAAAUAAGUAGAACGAGAGAUAACUUGUUUGAAUACAGAUAAUAUUUAUGUAGUAAUGUAUGGAACAAUUCAACUGUAUAUAACCGUGAGGGAAAGUUGAAAAGAAUAUAAGUGAAACAGAUCUUGAAUUAAUAACCUUAUAAGCAGUCGGAGGUCCAAAGACUGACGACGUACCUUUUGCAUAAUGGGUCAGCAAGUUAAUAUGCAAUGCAAGUCGCAAGACCUAAUGAAGAUGAUUCUGAACAGGGAUAUAAAGUAUUGUGUAUUAGACCCGAAAUCUAGUGAUCUUACUAUGAUCAGACAACUUCAGGUCGAACUGGUGUACGUCGCAAAGUACUCAGAAGAAUUGUGGUAAGUAGUGAAAUACAAAUCGGACUAGGAUAUAGCUGGUUUUCUGCGAAAAUUGUUUUGGCAAAUUGUUUAUUCCUCUUAAAAAUAGUAGGUAUAGCACUGAAUAUCUCGAGGGAGUAUGAAAAUAUUUAUCUCAGAUAUUUAAUCUCAAAAUAACUAUUUCUUAAAAUAAAUAAUCAGACUAUGUGCGAUAAGGUAGAUAGUCGAAAGGGAAACAGCCCAGAACAGUAAUUAAAGCUCCCCAAUUAAUAUUAAGUGAAAUAAAAGUUGUUGGAUAUCUAAAACAGUUAAGAAGUGGGCUUGGAAACAGCCAUCUUUUAAAGAACACGUAAAAGUGCAAUGAUCUAUGAUCUCCAGCGCUGAAAAUAUCCGGAUCUAAAUAUUAUGCUGAAAGACUGUUUAUUUUUUUUUUAAUUAACUGUAAUUUAAUUAAAAAAAAUAAGGUAGCAGAACAUUUAGUAAAUGUGUGAAGAAUAGUAUUUUAUUAUUCGGACAUAACUAAAGAGAGAAUGCUGACAUGAGUAACGUUAAAAUAGGUGAAAAUCCUAUUCGCCGAAAAUGGAAGGUUUUUAUAGUUCCGCUUAACUACUAUAAAUCAGAUCGGUCUCUAACAGUAAUUCGAAUGAAUAAUGGAUGAGAAACAUAUAUAAAAAUCGUAAGAUUCAGGAAAAAUUAUAUGUAAUAACCGUACUAAAACCGACACAGGUCCAUGAAUAUUAAUGUAUACAGGCGAAUGAGAGAAUUAUUGCGAAGGAACUCGGCAAAUGAAUUUCGUAAUUUCGAGAUAAGAAAUACCAAUGGUGUCAAUAAUGAGGUUGUACAACUGUUUACUUAAAACACAGUACUUUGCAAAGAUUAAAAAUCAUUGUAUAAAGUAUGAAAUCUGCCCAAUGCUAAAUGAUAAAAUCUAUGGCUUCAAUGGCUGUGGGUAUAAUGUUUAGUGAAUGGCGGCCUUAACUAUAAGGGUCCUAAGGUAGCGAAUUUCCUUGGCCGUUAAAUGCGGUCCCGCACGAAUGAUUUAAUGAUACAACAACUGUCUCCGCAAUAAACUCAGUGAAAUUGGAUUAGCCGUGAAGAUACGGUUUGUAUAUAGAUAGACGGGAAGACCCUAUGCAGCUUAACUGUUGUUCUUUAUUGUUUUUUUAAAUUCUCUUCUGUAGUGCUAAAAGGUAGUCGAUGAGAUGUCAGUGAAAAACCUUUGUGGAAAUUUAAAAUAACUAACUUACUUAAUUAAGAACAGUGAAGAUUAGACAGUUUCUGUGGGGCGCAGAUCUCAAAAAUUGUAUCUGAGAUGCCCAAAGGCAUGGUGAAAUUGGAUGGUAACCAAUGAAUGUACAUUUGUAUAUCUAGUGGUCUUUAAUUACUAGAUGAUGUUUUAUUUAAUAAAGUGUAAUGGCAUAACUCAUGCUUAACAGUAAGACUAACAAGUCAAACUGACAUGUAAGUGGGGCAUAAUGACCCUCGUUUACAUUAUGGAUUGGAACGAGAGUAACGAAUAAAAGCUACGCUAGGGAUAACAGGGUUAUUUCGUGUGAGAGAUCGUAUUGACCACGAAGUUUGCCACCUCGAUGUCGACUCAACCUAUCCUCCAGGAGUAGAAUAUUGGAAGGGUUCGGCUGUUCGCCGAUUAAAAGGUUACGUGAGUUGGGUUUA